GACGAACGCUGGCGGCGUGCUUAACACAUGCAAGUCGAACGGAAAGGCCCUGCUUGCAGGGUACUCGAGUGGCGAACGGGUGAGUAACACGUGGGUGAUCUGCCCUGCACUUCGGGAUAAGCCUGGGAAACUGGGUCUAAUACCGGAUAGGAGCCAUUUUUAGUGUGAUGGUUGGAAAGUUUUUUCGGUGUAGGAUGAGCUCGCGGCCUAUCAGCUUGUUGGUGGGGUAAUGGCCUACCAAGGCGGCGACGGGUAGCCGGCCUGAGAGGGUGGACGGCCACAUUGGGACUGAGAUACGGCCCAGACUCCUACGGGAGGCAGCAGUGGGGAAUAUUGCACAAUGGGCGCAAGCCUGAUGCAGCGACGCCGCGGGGGGGAUGACGGCCUUCGGGUUGUAAACUCCUUUCGCUAGGGACGAAGCUUUUUGUGACGGUACCCAGAUAAGAAGCACCGGCUAACUACGUG
rnacentral:rRNA from 1 species